ensembl:lncRNA
UUCAUCUUUCCUUGCCUUUUUUUCUCACUUCCCACAGCAGAGGAAACUUGCCAGACAAGAAUAGGAAAGUCCCAACAUCACCACUUUCUGAUCAACUUUCCUUUCUUCUAGCCUCACAACAUUUUUCUCCCAUUCUAUCCCCACUUGAGACAAAAGUCUCAAAAAUCCUUUCAUAUUACCAGGAGGAAAGACAAACUUCAUUCUUUGGCUAGAAUGGAUUCACUUGGCAUUGUCCUAAUAAAUCUGCCUUUGAAGCUGACGAAUCAUGUAUGUAUUCAAUCUUUCCUUCUUUCCUCUUUAUCAAUUGCCAUGGAAUUUGUAAAGAGUACUUUGAACCAAGUCUUCCCUUACUUCCAGUCACCCUAACCCUCCCUCAUAGCUUGCAAUUUCACACCUUUAUAUUUAUUUCCUCUAUUUCAAGAACCCAAUCCCGUUGCUUUCAAGGUUCAUUUUAGAAUUUUCCUUGUAGAUUUGACUUUUGCAUCUGAAUAUCAGGACUGUCCUUUCUCAUUUGGAGCUGCCUUUAACUCCUUGAUCAAUUGCCUUGGCCAACAUGGGAAUGUUACUCUGAAACACAAUGCUUUCCUCUGCCUUUGACCUAAACCCUGCAGUGUUCCUGGAGAGCGCUUUCAUGACACCUGCUCAAAGUCAUGCUCUUUUUUUUCUCAGACACCUAAUGCUGUGCAGUUGGUUCCUUUUCUUUUCCAACUUUUUCUCUUUCUACCUUGUGGCCUUAAAUUCUACAGACAAAUGCUGCCAAAAUCCACACAGUUUCUGGUUUGCUGAUACCAGCCAAGGGCUCCUGGUGCUCUCAGCUACUGUUUCCCUCUACCUCAGCACCACUUGAUCAGUUCCCUGAAAAAGAUUCCAGGCAAGGCUUACAUGUAGCAGAUUUUCUCUGGCUCUUCCUGUACUCCCAACAAGUCUCGCCUAGCUAAAAAAAAUUAUUUGAGUUUCUCUGCCCUUUCUGAAUAGGGCACAGAGGCCAUUGCAUAUCUUCCCAAUGUUCUUCAGUGUUGACCUUUCAGUUCUGCAAACUGGGAAUUUGUAGAAACUCAGAUGCCUGCCCAUUAACCAAACAACCCUACUACACUACACACAAUUUUCAAGGUGCAAGUGGGCAAACACUCCACCUGAAGGACUCCAUAUAGCAUACGAGAGUGGUGGUCUCAUGAUAUUCAUGCUAGUUAGAGGCCGGCUCAGAAAUUUCUGCACAGACAAGGAGCAGUAGUCUCACCUGGUCUGGAUGAAGCAGGCUCUGUCAACUCUGUCUAUAUCUAAGGGGAAAAAAGCAGUAAACAUGCAAUAUGAUGUGCCUUGAAAAGCGAGAAAAGUCUCAGUAAGAAACCAAUAGGCUUCCUCAAUUACACUCAAAAUCUGACCUGUCCCACUCUUUCCCACACAAGGAACAGGAUUCUAUGUGUUCUCCAAACUCAUGUUCUAGCUGCUAAGAAAUCAGGACAGUCUAGAGAAAACUUCCUUAUAUGCCCCAUCAUCUCCCAAAUGGGGAUGGGAACAUUGGGAAUUUGGGUCCAUUUGAAGAAGACCAUGCUAUUUUUUAGUCAUUUCCUCCCAGAGGAUUUUGUUCAGAUGAGGAAUUAGCUAAUCUCAAGGUUAUUUUUGAUGUUUGCUAGAUCUACACUUUCCACCUUGUAAUAGCCCCCAAGAAUAGAAAUUGGUACAUUAUUUCUCUUCAUAGAUAAAAGCUGUUGAAUAAUGUCUACCUCCCAAUGAAACUGGCGAUGAACUUUUGAAAAUCCGCAUCAGAUUGCUACCUAAUCUAUGCCAAACAGUAAUUGGAUAGACACUUUAGAAGCAUAUUAGGGAUUAUCCAAUUAUUUUUCUAAGUGUUCACUUCAACAUUCUCUCUACUUUUAGAAUCCUUCGUUGGACUCCAGAAUAAAAGACUGAAUCGAUUUUGGUAGUGGGGGAUGGGUUCCUUUUCCUUCCCAUCUAUUUUUCUUUCUACCUAAUGACCUUAAAACUCUACAGACAACUGCUGCCAAAAUCUACCCAGUCCCUGGCUUGCUGAUAACAGUCUAGUCCUCCAGUUGGUCUCAGCUACUGUUUCCCUCUACCUCAGCACCACUCAAUCAGUUCUCCAAAAACGAUUCCUGUCAAGACUGACAUUUGCAGAUUCUCCCUGGCUCUUGCACUGCUCCCAACAUGUCUCACCUAGACAAAAAAUUGGAUUAGUUGCUCUACCCUCUCUGAAUAGGGCACAGAGGCUAUUUCCUGUCUUCACAAUGAGAUUCAAUGUUGACCCUUCAAUUCUACAAAUUGGGAAUUUGUAGAAACACAGCUGCUUACCCAUUAACCAAACAAUCAUACUACACCACACACAAUUUUCAGGUGCAACUGGGCAAACACUCCACCUGGAGGACUCAUGAUAUUGAUGAGAGAAAUGCAAAUUAAGAUAAUUCUUUGGUACCAGUAUACAUCUCUCAGGUUGGCUAAAAUGACAGCAAAAGAUAUGGAUGAAUGUUGCAGGGGGCUGUGGGGAAAACUAGGACACUAAUAAAUGGUAAGUGGAGUUGUAAAAUGAUCCAACCAUUCUGGAGAGCAAUUUAGAAUAAUGUCCAAAGGGCUAUCAAACUGUGCAUACCCUUUAAUCCAGCAGUGUUUCUACUGGUCUUGUAUCCUCAAGAGAUUCUAAAGAAGGGAAACGGACCUACAUGUGCAAAACUGUUUGUGGCAUCCCUUUAGGUACUGACAAGCAACUGGAAACAGAGUGGAUUCCUAUCAGAUGGAGAAUGUCUGAAUAAUUUAUAGUAUAAGAAUAUCUGGGAAUAUUAGUGUUCUGUAAGAAAAGAGCAGCAGAAUGAUUUCAGAGAUGGCUGGAGAAACUUACAUGAACUGAUGCUGAGAGAAGUGAAUAGAAUCAGGAAAACAUUGUACACAGCAAGUUUAUAUGAUGACAAUUCUAAUGGACAUGGCUCUUUUCAAGAAUGAAGUGAUUCAAGCCAGUUUCAAGGGUCUUGUAAUGAAGAAAGCAAUCUGCACACAGAGAGGAGACUGUAGGGACUUAGUGUGAAUGACAAAAGCAUUUUCACUUUUGUUGUUGUUUGAAUUUUGUAUUCUUUCUCAUUUUUUUUUCCUUUUUGAUCUGAUUUUUCUUGUGGAACAUGGUGAUUGUGGAAAUAUAUAUAGAAGAAUUGCAAAUAUUUAACAUAUAUUGAAUUAUUUGCCAUUCACAGGAGGGUGUAAGGGGAAAGGAGGGAAAAAUAUUAGAACACAUUUGUCAAGAGUAAAUGUUCAAAACUGUUUAUGCAUGUCUUGAAAACAAAAAGCUUUCAUAAUAAAAUAUGAUAAUUUAAAAAAAACAAUGAGGGCAGCAAGCUCAUCAUCCUUGGAAAAUAUUGAGGUGGCAAUAGUUUAAGCCCUUCAGAGAGAGGUUUUGGUGCCACAACUUGAAGCAGAAGGGAGGGAGAUACAGGUUGAAGAGCUCGGAUACUAUUCUGUAUUUGCAAGUUGAUAGCUCUGCCAGUCCAUUUCCACCUUCUCUGUUCUAUGGUUUCAGGGUUCUUGCUUUUCCCAGAAGGGGGAUAAUUGUCAGAGUUAUACUUCAUGCAGCAAACUUCUUCCGAGCUUGUAGGCUUUGACAUGACAAAGUACUUUGGAAAGCAUUUUGUCUCUGUUAUAGACCCAUUCUAAACAUUCAGAUCUCUGCUCAAAAAUGUUGACCUCUAAAGCAACAGGUCUCUACUAUGCUGUAACUAUAUCAAGGCUAAUCAGGUUCCAGACUAGAUCUCCUACAUCCAAAAAACCUUUGUCCCCAACUGAGAUGUUAAGAAAUUAUCCAUUUCUUACUUUCUCUGCUCUUUUCAAUACCCAUCUUUGCAGCAGACUUUGCAGCAGUCUUUGGACAAUACCACCCACAUUUGGAAGGUUUUUCCCCUUUCUUGCUCCUUUGAGAUAUGAAGAAAUUGCCUCUAAAUUGCUUCUGUUUUUUCAGAAUAACCAAAUUCACUUUUCAAGGUCACCUCCCUAACACUGAUGUGCUAUAUAAAGACAUCCCAUCUAAAACUUGAAUAAUGUUUGAAGAGUCAUGUGGGUCUUUCUUUGAGCAGCUCCUUCACUGAGUCAGUCAGUAGGUAAAGUCCAUGUACUGGUUAGUACUUCUCAGCUUCUUGUUUCAAAAGGUUCGAUCUGGCGAACGGUUCCCAAAUAUUCCUUCUCUGAGCUCCGAGUUGGCUCUAACCAGGACUGAUUCCUGCUCAUCAAGAGGCUGCCCAGUCAUUGUUUGGGGUGGGGGAAGGAGGAGCUCGAGGAAGGUUCUGGGAAGGGGAGGAGCAGCCAGUUUGCUGGUCUCGCAUCUGGUUGGGCGCCAUUUCUUGAGUCGGGGGCCACUGACAUCUCGAGGAACUCCGUCCGACUCUCUGGGAUUCUUCCCCAAGCGGGAGACUUCGAUGCUGAACUCAGCAGAUCAGCCCGUGAAAAGGUCCAUAGUCAGACACUAAGGAGCAGAUCUGGAGAAUCGACACUUGCCUUCCUGGACCUGGCAGCAGGGGAGGGCAAUGUGGAAAUGUUCGACAGCAGCCUGAAAGGAAAAUGAUUCCCAGUCAUAAGAUGAACACAAAAGAAAAUAGUUUAAUUCCAUCGAGAUUGUGUUAACUGUACAAAUAGAAAUGACCACUAGAUAGAAGAUGAUUUCCAGCUAGAAGGAUGUAUCAGGAAGCAUUCAUGGAGUGCUUGUAAUUGCCCUCAAAGGAAGGACAACGAUUGCAGAAGG